CAAUAGCGUAUAUUUAAGUUGUUGCAGUUAAAAAGCUCGUAGUUGGAUUUCGGGUGGGACGCAGCGGUCUCGCAUUGCGUUUGUACUGCUGCAGCCCUCCUUCUUGCCGGGGGCGGCCUCUCGGACUUCACUGUCUGGGGGUCAGAAUCGGCGAUGUUACUUUGAGUAAAUUAGAGUGUUCAAAGCAAGCUUACGCUCUGAAUAUAAUAGCAUGGGAUAACACGACAGGACUCUGGCCUAUCGUGUUGGUCUAUAGGACCAGAGUAAUGAUUAAGAGGGACAGUCGGGGGCAUUCGUAUUCCGUUGUCAGAGGUGAAAUUCUUGGAUUUACGGAAGACGUACAUCUGCGAAAGCAUUUGCCAAGGAUGUUUUCAUUGA
rnacentral:rRNA from 1 species